GGAAAACGUUCAUUAUCUUAAGCCUUUGACGGUGCCCUAAUCUGUCCUCUCCCCUCCAGGUGAAGCCGGGCACAGUCAUGAGGCUGCUGUCCCGAACUCCUGCCGUGCGUUUCGGGCGCCACCAGGAAGGAUUUCUCAACCUUCCGGAGUCUCCCUGUGGUGCCCUGAGAUCCCCCUGCCCCCCGCACACCCCCCAACGCUCAUGCUUACCUCCUAGCAAAUCCCUUUAGACUUAGAAAGAACCCACCCAAGCUUUGGACACGCGGCUCUGAGUCCGAGACCCAGGUUGGACAUUUGCAGGUCACCGCCGCAGCGACUUUGCCUCACCUCUCUCUGGCUGUGGAUGCUUCUCAGCAAGGCUCCUUCGAUCUCUUGUACAUGUACACACUGUGCCAACGUUGGCUCAGCCCAGUGUGGCCGAGUCCCACAGAACAUCCUUGGGAAACACGAGGCGUGGACAGACCCUGCCUAUAUCGAGGUCACUGCUGACAGCCUUCUCUUCCAGGGUCGCCAGCCCACCUCUCCCUUUGCCGGGACCAUGGGCCGUGGCCCCAUCAGGUCAGCCGUUUGUCCUCGUUGGCUCGGAGCUGUGACGCCUGCCGCGUGGUCCAGCCCACGGCCGUCCGUCUCCAGAGCCCGCCCCACGGGAGGGACCCGAGCGGAAAGGAAGUUCAGGAGGCUCCACGAAUGAUGCACUGUGGCUUCACGUCAACGCUCCUAUAAUUCCAAGGAGAGAAUGGUGUACCGCCUGUCGCUUCAACUAACUGAUCUCAAACUUCAUGCUGUUCCCGAGGGCGACGUAACGUCACGGCUCUCCGUCAGGCAAAGGGGUCCCAAACUGUACAAUGACAAACAGCCCCCUUCCUCAGGCCACAUGGGGACCCCGAAAUACAACUGCCGUCAAUGACUGUCCCCGGGAACUCAGGCUCCACUGGGAAUGAUGUUCUCGAGGUCCCGCUCCAGCAUCAGCAGUGAACCGCAAGCCUGAAUAGCUCUUCCUUUUGCCACGAGAAAAAAUAAUUCACUGGAGAAAUCACACUGCUGAUGAAACUGAAACGCGAGCAGAGUCACAGGUUCCCCCUCAAUCCUCCAUCUGGGAAGUGAGAGCAGCUUCCCGAAAAAGGGAUGAGGCUGAACGGCAUUGUGCUGUGGUCCUGAGCUGUGCUGAUGAGACCCGAGUUUAGGGUAAACCCUGUGAUAUGGGGACAAAACCAGUAUUUGAAAAAUUCAAUUAGAGAAAACUGUAAAUUGA